CACCGCCUGGGGAGUACGACCGCAAGGUUAAAACUCAAAUGAAUUGACGGGGACCCGCACAAGCAGUGGAGCAUGUGGUUUAAUUCGAAGAUACGCGCAGAACCUUACCAACACUUGACAUGUUCGUCGCGAACCUAAGAGAUUAGGUUCUUCAUUCAGUUGGACGAAACACAGGUGCUGCAUGGCUGUCGUCAGCUCGUGUCGUGAGAUGUUGGGUUAAGUCCCGCAACGAGCGCAACCCUUACUUUUAGUUGCCACCAUUUAGUUGAGAACUCUAAAAGAACUGCCAGUGAUAAGCUGGAGGAAGGCGGGGAUGACGUCAAGUCCUCAUGGCCCUUACGUGUUGGGCUACACACGUGCUACAAUGGCAUUUACAAUGAGAUGCAAAGAGGCGACUCCAAGCCAAUCUCAAAAAAAUGCCUCAGUUCGGAUUGUACUCUGCAACUCGAGUACAUGAAGCUGGAAUUGCUAGUAAUCGCGGAUCAGCGCGCCGCGGUGAAUACGUUCCCGGGUCUUGUGCACACCGACCGUCACACCAUGGAAGUUGGUUACACCUGAAGGCAAAGCGUAAAACCUUUGACUACGGUACGAUCAGCGACUGGGGUGAAGUCGUAACAAGGUAGCCGUAGGGGAACCUGCGGCUGGAUCACCUCCUUUCUAAGGAAAUCGAAAAAUAUAAAAAACAAUUAUUUUCGAUUUAAAAAAAUCGGUUAAUGUGACCGUCCUCAUUUCUCUUCUUUUAAUGUCUCUGAGUAAGUGUGAGUAAGGGGCCGGUAGCUCAGGUGGUUAGAGCGCACCCCUGAUAAGGGUGAGGUCGGAAGUUCGAGUCUUCCUCGGCCCACCAAUAUUACGGGGGAUUAGCUCAGCUGGGAGAGCGCCUGAUUUGCAUUCAGGAGGUCAGCGGUUCGAUCCCGCUAUCCUCCACCAAAUUUGAGACAUUUAGCUUUUUUAAAUUGUGAAUAUUAUUAAUAUCAAUAUCUAUAUCCGAUUGUUUUCAGGUAUUUUCUUGAAAACAAUCAAAACAAAAAUUUAAUUUAUUACAGAAAAGUUUUUUUCUG
rnacentral:sRNA from 1 species